rnacentral:rRNA from 1 species
GGGGUAACCUGCCUGUAAGGACUGGGGAUAACUCCGGGGAAACCGGAGCUAAUACCGGAUAGUUCCUUGAACCGCAUGGUUCAAGGAUGAAAGACGGUUUCGGCUGUCACUUACAGAUGGACCCGCGGCGCAUUAGCUAGUUGGUGAGGUAACGGCUCACCAAGGCGACGAUGCGUAGCCGACCUGAGAGGGUGAUCGGCCACACUGGGACUGAGACACGGCCCAGACUCCUACGGGAGGCAGCAGUAGGGAAUCUUCCGCAAUGGACGAAAGUCUGACGGAGCAACGCCGCGUGAGUGAUGAAGGUUUUCGGAUCGUAAAGCUCUGUUGUUAGGGAAGAACAAGUGCAAGAGUAACUGCUUGCACCUUGACGGUACCUAACCAGAAAGCCACGGCUAACUACGUGCCAGCAGCCGCGGUAAUACGUAGGUGGCAAGCGUUGUCCGGAAUUAUUGGGCGUAAAGGGCUCGCAGGCGGUUUCUUAAGUCUGAUGUGAAAGCCCCCGGCUCAACCGGGGAGGGUCAUUGGAAACUGGGAAACUUGAGUGCAGAAGAGGAGAGUGGAAUUCCACGUGUAGCGGUGAAAUGCGUAGAGAUGUGGAGGAACACCAGUGGCGAAGGCGACUCUCUGGGUCUGUAACUGACGCUGAGGAGCGAAGGCGUGGGGGAGCGAACAGGGAUUAGAUACCCUAGAUAGUCC